CACUAUCGUUAACUGAAUACAUAGGUUAACGAGGCGAACCGGGGGAACUGAAACAUCUAAGUACCCCGAGGAAAAGAAAUCAACCGAGAUUCCCCCAGUAGCGGCGAGCGAACGGGGAGCAGCCCAGAGUCUGAAUCAGCUUGUGUGUUAGUGGAACGGUCUGGAAAGUCCGACGGUACAGGGUGAUAGUCCCGUACACCAAAAUGCACAGGCUGUGAACUCGAAGAGUAGGGCGGGACACGUGGUAUCCUGUCUGAAUAUGGGGGGACCAUCCUCCAAGGCUAAAUACUCCUGACUGACCGAUAGUGAACCAGUACCGUGAGGGAAAGGCGAAAAGAACCCCGGCGAGGGGAGUGAAAAAGAACCUGAAACCGUGUACGUACAAGCAGUGGGAGCACCUUCGGGUGUGACUGCGUACCUUUUGUAUAAUGGGUCAGCGACUUAUAUUCUGUAGCAAGGUUAACCGUAUAGGGGAGCCGCAGGGAAACCGAGUCUUAACUGGGCGUUAAGUUGCAGGGUAUAGACCCGAAACCCGGUGAUCUAGCCAUGGGCAGGUUGAAGGUUGGGUAACACUAACUGGAGGACCGAACCGACUAAUGUUGAAAAAUUAGCGGAUGACUUGUGGCUGGGGGUGAAAGGCCAAUCAAACCGGGAGAUAGCUGGUUCUCCCCGAAAGCUAUUUAGGUAGCGCCUCGUGAAUUCAUCUUCGGGGGUAGAGCACUGUUUCGGCUAGGGGGUCAUCCCGACUUACCAACCCGAUGCAAACUACGAAUACCGAAGAAUGUUAUCACGGGAGACACACGGCGGGUGCUAACGUCCGUCGUGAAGAGGGAAACAACCCAGACCGCCAGCUAAGGUCCCAAAGUCAUGGUUAAGUGGGAAACGAUGUGGGAAGGCACAGACAGCCAGGAUGUUGGCUUAGAAGCAGCCAUCAUUUAAAGAAAGCGUAAUAGCUCACUGGUCGAGUCGGCCUGCGCGGAAGAUGUAACGGGGCUAAACCAUGCACCGAAGCUGCGGCAGCGACACUAUGUGUUGUUGGGUAGGGGAGCGUUCUGUAAGCCUGCGAAGGUGACCUGUGAGGGUUGCUGGAGGUAUCAGAAGUGCGAAUGCUGACAUAAGUAACGAUAAAGCGGGUGAAAAGCCCGCUCGCCGGAAGACCAAGGGUUCCUGUCCAACGUUAAUCGGGGCAGGGUGAGUCGACCCCUAAGGCGAGGCCGAAAGGCGUAGUCGAUGGGAAACAGGUUAAUAUUCCUGUACUUGGUGUUACUGCGAAGGGGGGACGGAGAAGGCUAUGUUAGCCGGGCGACGGUUGUCCCGGUUUAAGCAUGUAGGCUGGUUAUCCAGGCAAAUCCGGAUAAUCAAGGCUGAGGUGUGAUGACGAGGCACUACGGUGCUGAAGUAACAAAUGCCCUGCUUCCAGGAAAAGCCUCUAAGCAUCAGGUAACAUCAAAUCGUACCCCAAACCGACACAGGUGGUCAGGUAGAGAAUACCAAGGCGCUUGAGAGAACUCGGGUGAAGGAACUAGGCAAAAUGGUGCCGUAACUUCGGGAGAAGGCACGCUGGUGUGUAGGUGAAGUCCCUGCGGAUGGAGCUGAGACCAGUCGAAGAUACCAGCUGGCUGCAACUGUUUAUUAAAAACACAGCACUGUGCAAACACGAAAGUGGACGUAUACGGUGUGACGCCUGCCCGGUGCCGGAAGGUUAAUUGAUGGGGUUAUCCGUAAGGAGAAGCUCUUGAUCGAAGCCCCGGUAAACGGCGGCCGUAACUAUAACGGUCCUAAGGUAGCGAAAUUCCUUGUCGGGUAAGUUCCGACCUGCACGAAUGGCGUAAUGAUGGCCAGGCUGUCUCCACCCGAGACUCAGUGAAAUUGAACUCGCUGUGAAGAUGCAGUGUACCCGCGGCAAGACGGAAAGACCCCGUGAACCUUUACUAUAGCUUGACACUGAACAUUGAGCCUUGAUGUGUAGGAUAGGUGGGAGGCUUUGAAG
rnacentral:rRNA from 1 species